rnacentral:rRNA from 1 species
UACGUAGGUGGCAAGCGUUGUCCGGAUUUACUGGGCGUGAAGAGCGCGCAGGCGGUCGUAUAAGUCGAAUGUGAAAGCCCCCGGCUCAACUGGGGAGGGUCAUUCGAUACUGUUCGACUCGAAGGCAGGAGAGGGAAGUGGAAUUCCGGGUGUAGUGGUGAAAUGCGUAGAUAUCCGGAGGAACACCAGUGGCGAAGGCGACUUUCUGGCCUGUUCUUGACGCUGAGGCGCGAAAGCUAGGGGAGCAAACGGG